GAAGAGAGAGUUCAAUAGUACGUGAAACCGUUCGGGGGUAAACGGACAGAGCCCGUGAAUCCGGGCCGGCGAAUUCAGGACCGAUGCGUGCGUCUCUGGUAGGCGUCGCGCGUCGGUUUGAUUUUUCGCCGGCCGUAUCAGUUCGGACGUUGCGACCCGUUUGGUGCUGGUUUUCGUAAGGACCGACGUUCAGUUCGACCAGUUUGAUUCGUUUCGGCGGAUCAGUUUGGCGAUCCGUUGGUUCCGAGCUAGCUAGCCCGACGGUAUAAGAAUGGUGUCCGGCGACGGGGACUUGUCCUCGUUGUCGGUACCGGUCGGUAACGAUUAUUCGGGCCUCUUUCCGACCCGUCUUGAAACACGGACCAAGGAGUCUAACGUGUGCGCGAGUCAUAGGGUGUCGCCGAUUGGUGCGCAAGCUUCAGUCGGCGUUAUACAAACGAAACCCGACUAGGCGUAAUGAAAGUAAUUUUUGUGCUUCGGCACAUGUUGGGAAGAUAGCGUUCCGAGUACACGUUCUAGACUCGAUCUAGACCGGACGUUCGCAUUCCCGGGGCGUCCCUUCAGUCCGGCGGUGUACUACUUCGGUGGUGCGCCGUUGAACUGGGGCGCACUCGUAGCGUACACGUUGGUACCCGAAAGAUGGUGAACUAUGCCCGGCCAGGAUGAAGUCAGGGGAAACCCUGAUGGAGGUCCGCAGCGAUUCUGACGUGCAAAUCGAUCGUCUGAGCUGGG
rnacentral:rRNA from 1 species